AUCACACUCCGUCUCACAUGAGAUAUAAUAAAAUAGUAGACAGUGAUCUGUAAAGUCAAGCCAGCAUUUAGCGUGAUUUCACUCGCAUUUGGAGUUCAUUUCGCGUUGUUGUUCGAAUUCGAAAUCGAAGCCUAGCUCCAGUACUCCACUUGUUUAUAUACAAGGAAUAUCCAAAAUCCAAAAUCGGAAAAAAAAAGGACCAAGAGAG
rnacentral:misc_RNA from 1 species